GCAGUCGCACAAGCAUCCGACAUCUAUGGGUAUCCACAUGAAGCUCUUGUGCUAAUCGAUCUCUCCGGGAGUGCUAGCUCGUAAAGACACUAUGCAUUGGCUGAUCUAAGAGAAAACACAAAGAUAAAGAAUAAGGAAACUCUCUCCUUUUCUUUCUGGAUCGAUGCAUCUGAUCUCUACAAUAGAGAUUAAGAGAAGAACUU
rnacentral:lncRNA from 1 species